CCUACGGGUGGCAGCAGUGGGGAAUUUUGGACAAUGGGCGCAAGCCUGAUCCAGCCAUUCCGCGUGAGUGAAGAAGGCCUUCGGGUUGUAAAGCUCUUUCGCAAGGGAAGAAAACUUAUCUUCUAACAUAGGAUGAGGUUGACGGUACCUUGAUAAGAAGCACCGGCUAACUACGUGCCAGCAGCCGCGGUAAUACGUAGGGUGCGAGCGUUAGUAGGAAUUACUGGGCGUAAAGUGUGAGCCAGCUGUGAACGCCCCGAGCUCAACGUGGGAACGGCGUUUGAAACUACAAGACUAGAAUAGGUCAGAGGGGAGUAGAAUUCCACGUGUAGCAGUGAAAUGCGUAGAGAUGUGGAGGAAUAUCAAUGGCGAAGGCAGCCCCCUGGGAUCAUAUUGACGCUCAUGCACGAAAGCGUGGGGAGCAAACAGGAUUAGAUACCCGAGUAGUC
rnacentral:rRNA from 1 species